rnacentral:tRNA from 1 species
GGAGGAAUGGCCGAGUGGUUGAAGGCGGCGGUCUUGAAAACCGUUGUACCGCAAGGUACCGUGGGUUCGAAUCCUACUUCCUCCGCCA